rnacentral:rRNA from 1 species
CAGUAGCCGCGGGAAUACGUAGGGUGCGAGCGUUAAUCGGAAUUACUGGGCGUAAAGCGUGCGCAGGCGGUUGUGUAAGACAGGUGUGAAAUCCCCGGGCUUAACCUGGGAACUGCGCUUGUGACUGCACAGCUAGAGUAUGGCAGAGGGGGGUGGAAUUCCACGUGUAGCAGUGAAAUGCGUAGAGAUGUGGAGGAACACCGAUGGCGAAGGCAGCCCCCUGGGCCAAUACUGACGCUCAUGCACGAAAGCGUGGGGAGCAAACAGGAUUAGAUACCCGAGUAGUCCCUGUCUCUUAUAC